AAAAGAACUUAGCAGAGAUGCUUUGGUGCCUUCGGGAACUCUGAGACAGGUGCUGCAUGGCUGUCGUCAGCUCGUGUUGUGAAAUGUUGGGUUAAGUCCCGCAACGAGCGCAACCCUUAUCCUUUGUUGCCAGCGGUUCGGCCGGGAACUCAAAGGAGACUGCCAGUGAUAAACUGGAGGAAGGUGGGGAUGAACGUCAAGUCAUCAUGGCCCUUACGAGUAGGGCUCUUUUUUUUUACAAUGGCGUAUACAAAGAGAACACCUCGCGAGAGCAAGCGGACCUCAUAAAGUACGUCGUAGUCCGGAUUGGAGUCUGCAACUCGACUCCAUGAAGUCGGGAAUCGCUAGUAAUCGGUAGAUCAGAAUGCCUACGGUGAAUACGUUCCCGGGCCUUGUACACACC
rnacentral:rRNA from 1 species